GGGGAUUUUAACUUAAUAAAAGUAUCUGAGUUGCAUUUAGAAUAUGUAGGUUAAUAUCCUACAAAUCCUA
rnacentral:tRNA from 1 species